UUGCGAUUUUUUUAUGGCUGAGUUAUAAGCAUUAAAUUUUUAAUUUAAUUACAAGGUUUAUCCUUU
rnacentral:tRNA from 1 species